UGCGAGUCAUUGUAGCAAUACAAGGCAGACGGCUCAGUAACGCGUAGUCAAUCUACCCUAUGGACGGGAAUAACCUCGGGAAACUGAGAAUAAUGCCCGACAGAACAUUAUACCUGGAACGGUUUAUGUUUCAAAUGAUUUAUCGCCGUAGGAUGGGACUGCGGCCUAUCAGUUUGUUGGUGAGGUAAUGGCCCACCAAGACUAUUACAGGUACGGGCUCUGAGAGGAGUAGCCCGGAGAUGGGUACUGAGACACGGACCCAGGCCCUAUGGGGCGCAGCAGGCGAGAAAACUUUGCAAUGUGCGAAAGCACGACAAGGUUAAUCCGAGUGGUUUCUGCUAAAGAAACCUUUUGCUAGUCCUAGAAACACUAGUGAAUAAGGGGUGGGCAAGUUCUGGUGUCAGCCGCCGCGGUAAAACCAGCACCUCAAGUGGUCAGGAUGAUUAUUGGGCCUAAAGCAUCCGUAGCUCGUUUUGUAAGUUUUCGGUUAAAUCCAUACGCUUAACGUAUGGGCUGCCGGGAAUACUGCAUAACUAGGAAGUGGGAGAGGUAGACGGUACUCGGUAGGAAGGGGUAAAAUCCUUUGAUCUAUUGAUGACCACCUGUGGCGAAGGCGGUCUACCAGAACACGUUCGACGGUGAGGGAUGAAAGCUGGGGGAGCAAACCGGAUUAGAUACCCGGGCAGUCCCAGCUGUAAACUAUGCAAACUCAGUGAUGCAUUGGCUUGUGGCCAAUGCAGUGCUGCAGGGAAGCCGUUAAGUUUGCCGCCUGGGAAGUACGUACGCAAGUAUGAAACUUAAAGGAAUUGGCGGGGGAGCACCACAAGGGGUGAAGCUGCGGU
rnacentral:rRNA from 1 species